rnacentral:rRNA from 1 species
UACGUAGGGUGCGAGCGUUGUCCGGAAUUACUGGGCGUAAAGAGCUCGUAGGCGGUUUGUCGCGCCGUCUGUGAAAUUCUGCAACUCAAUUGUAGGCGUGCAGGCGAUACGGGCAGACUUGAGUACUACAGGGGAGACUGGAAUUCCUGGUGUAGCGGUGAAAUGCGCAGAUAUCAGGAGGAACACCGGUGGCGAAGGCGGGACUCUGGGCCGAUACUGACGCUGAGGAGCGAAAGCGUGGGAGCAAACAGG